rnacentral:lncRNA from 1 species
UGCGUCCAGAAUACCACAGUUUUACUGCAGUUACUGCGUCCAGAAUACCACAGUCUACUGCAGUUACUGCGUCCAGAAUACCACAGUCUACUGCAGUUACUGCGCCCAGAAUACCACAGUAAUACACCAUACAGUAAGACUGGCUACUCUACUAUAAUACACCAUACAGUAAGGCUGGCUACUCUACUGUAAUACACCAUACAGUAAGACUGGCUACUCUACUGUAAUACACCAUACAGUAAGACUGGCUACUCUACUGUAAUACACCAUACAGUAAGGCUGGCUACUCUACUGUAAUACACCAUACAGUAAGACUGGCUACUCUACUAUAAUACACCAUACAGUAAGACUGGCUACUCUACUGUAAUACACCAUACAGUUAGACUGGCUACUAUAAUACACCAUACAGUAAGACUGGCUACUCUACUGUAAUACACCAUACAGUAAGGCUGGCUACUAUAAUACACCAUACAGUAAGACUGGCUACUCUACUGUAAUACACCAUACAGUAAGACUGGCUACUCUACUGUAAUACACCAUGCAGACUGGCUACUCUACUGUAAUACACCAUACAGUAAGGCUGGCUACUCUACUGUAAUACACCAUACAGUAAGACUUGCUACUCUACUGUAAUACACCAUACAGUAAGACUUGCUACUCUACUGUAAUACACCAUACAGUAAGGCUGACUACUCUACUGUAAUACACCAUACAGUAAGACUUGCUACUCUACUGUAAUACACCAUACAGUAAGGCUGGCUACUCUACUGUAAUACACCAUACAGUAAGACUUGCUACUCUACUAUAAUACACCAUACAGUAAGACUGGCUACUCUACUGUAAUACACCAUACAGUAAGACUGGCUACUCUACUGUAAACACACAGUCCAGUUCAUAGUGAAUGAUGGCAGGCCCUACUGCCUGUAAACACACAGUCCAGUUCAUAGUGAAUGAUGACAGGUCCUACUGCCUGUAAACACAGUCCAGUUCAUAGUGAAUGAUGGCAGGUCCUACUGCCUGUAAACACAGUCCAGUUCAUAGUGAAUGAUGGCAGGUCCUACUGCCUGUAAACACACAGUCCAGUUCAUAGUGAAUGAUGGCAGGUCCUACUGCCUGUAAACACACAGUCCAGUUCAUAGUGAAUGAUGGCAGGUCCUACUGCCUGUAAACACACAGUCCAGUUCAUAGUGAAUGAUGGCAGGUCCUACUGCCUGUAAACACAGUCCAGUUCAUAGUGAAUGAUGGCAGGUCCUACUGCCUGUAAACACAGUCCAGUUCAUAGUGAAUUAUGACAGGCCCUACUGCCUGUAAACACACAGUCCAGUUCAUAGUGAAUUAUGACAGGCCCUACUGCCUGUAAACACACAGUCCAGUUCAUAGUGAAUGAUGGCAGGUCCUACUGCCUGUAAACACACAGUCCAGUUCAUAGUGAAUGAUGGCAGGUCCUACUGCCUGUAAACACACAGUCCAGUUCAUAGUGAAUGAUAACAGGUCCUACUGCCUGUAAACACAGUCCAGUUCAUAGUGAAUGAUGACAGGUCCUACUGUAAACACACAGUCCAGUUCAUAGUGAAUGAUGGCAGGUCCUACUGUAAACACACAGUCCAGUUCAUAGUGAAUGAUGGCAGGUCCUACUGCCUGUAAACACACAGUCCAGUUCAUAGUGAAUGAUGGCAGGUCCUACUGCCUGUAAACACACAGUCCAGUUCAUAGUGAAUGAUGGCAGGUCCUACUGCCUGUAAACACACAGUCCAGUUCAUAGUGAAUGAUGACAGGUCCUACUGCCUGUAAACACAGUCCAGUUCAUAGUGAAUUAUGACAGGCCCUACUGCCUGUAAACACACAGUCCAGUUCAUAGUGAAUGAUGGCAGGUCCUACUGCCUGUAAACACACAGUCCAGUUCAUAGUGAAUGAUGACAGGCUUGUGUGGCAUAUGGCUAAUUUGCAUAUAGACCUACUGUAGCUCUGAUUGGCUAUGAACCACCGGUCUGCAGUAGACUCCGGUCCUGGACGAGACAGAUAUUUUUAUUAAGGUUUAUUUACUGCAGUGUCUUAAUUGUCCAAACGCACGACCACUUUCUCACUCUACAUUCACAAAACCUUACUCUACGUCAUUCCCAAACACUCUAUGAAUUUAUGAAAAGGUUAAAAUGACCAUAUCUAAGUGCUCGCUUGACAGAAAAUAUUAAAAACAGGUGUCGUAGUCUUCCUGGGGUUGUACACGAACACAUUUUAAUAAGAUUUCAUGUAGGAGAGAAG